rnacentral:sRNA from 1 species
CUAAGGUUCGAUUCGAGCGCAGCGAGAACGCGUUGCCGCAGGCAACGACCCGAAGGGCGAAGCGCGCAGCGCUGAGUCAUCCUUCCCCCACCACCA